UUCUGUUUCCCCUUCGUUCAUUCACUUUAUAUGAAAGCAACUAUUGGACUUGAUAUAUAGUUAAGGCACCAUCUGGUUAUAUGCCUUUUUAAAGUACUUUUGCAAGACAAAAAAGUCAAAACUAUUUUUUCUUAUUGUCUUUUGUUGCAGUAAAAGGUAUAUUUAGUGGAUGUCUAUCCAAUAAAAGUAUUUCCAAUAAAAAAUACAUGGGAUGACUUAUAGGUGUUUGUGGUGGUGGUGAUGCUACUGUGUUUGGGGCGGAGUUUAUGUAAUUGUGGCUCUGGUUUUGUCAUAUUUCUUUUAUAGGCUUUUGUUGAAAGCAUGAAAGGUAAUUCUUAGUGGUUGUCAUUGUUGUGUUAACCCCAAAUCUAGUUGAAUGGGUUUGGGCAUAUUAAUUAUCUUCUUCCAUUCUUUUAUAAUGCAAGCAAUAUUUCCUAUUAUAUUUAAUUUCUUUAGGCCUAUUACUGACCUCUUUGUCUCUUUCUACAACUAUAAGCCAAGUCGUAAGCAACUCACUUCUAUUCUUGUUUUUUUUGAUAACUGGGGUGUCCGGAGCUUUACCCCGACUAAUCCAAGGGACCCGUGCAAAGCGUCACCUCCACAUGGAUUGGGUAAAGCUUGGACUACGUCCGCGGGCGAGGCCCCUAAGGAAUUGUUUGCACUUAGGAGGAAUUGAUCCUGAGACCUCAUGCUUCACGAGGCUCCAGGGCCCAAGUAUUUUCCAACUAGGCCAACCCCUUGGGAUUAUAUAUUGAUUGGGGCUCUAUAGAUCAUAGUACUACUACUAGUAUACUAGAGGGGCCAGAAUGGAAAUCAAAACUCCUAGCAAUACUUCACUGUCAUCCUAGUCAAUGAUGUAGGCGUCAUCCAGACACUGUACAGAUCUACGGAUCUCCUCAGCAGCCAAGUGGAAAGAUUUAGUUGUAAUCAGUACUUAGAAUAAAUCUUUGAGAUUAUCUGAUUUGAUCACACUCACUGGUUUAAAAGAUUGAGUUUAUGUUGUAUUCAGUUGUGAUUUUUUGAUGGUGCGUUUGUUUUUUUGCUUAAAUCCAACUUCAGAUUGAUGACUCCUGCACCUUCCAAUAAAAGAAAAUAAAAUAUUGGAAAUAGUUGUUUAUAGUUUCUUCUUUUCAUAAGGGGAAAUAAUGUUAAUAUAACAGAAGUUGAAAAUUAA